AAAAUAUCAAUUAAACCUGAGCAGCCUAUAAAGAAACAUCGCACGGAAGAGAUGAGUCAGAUUGUAUUCAAUUCAGUAGAUGGAUCUACAAAAAAAAUAUUUGUUGAUAGCACUUUAUACUAUCACAACAAUAAACGACCAAUAAGAAUCUUCGGUAAAUGUUUGUCCAUCAAUUUAUGCAAAGCAACAUCGAUAUUAUUAGUUAGCUCCCUAGAUUAUAAGUUUCAAAAAACUGAUACUUAUAUGUCUGUAAAAAAAAUAAAAUAAAAGCUCGAAGAGUUGAGUUCAUAACAUAACUUAAUCUUACGUGGUCGAGACGAACAAUGCAAAUUCGAUCAGCUGCCAGCAUCACAUAUCACAUUGUUGUAUUACACGAUAAUGUGUUAUACACGUAGCGCCAUGAGACGGACCUGUGCGAGUUUAUACAUAUUUACCCUAUGCGAUCUGAACAUAUUAUACUCCUAAGCUCCUAAGUUCUGACUUCCACAGAAUACGAUCACUGCAGCAGAACCGUAUCCGCAGACAUGUAUAACACAAGAAUGAAGACAUGUGAGAUAUGUACGAGCAACAGGUCAUUAAUCAUUAUAGUCGCCGAUGACGAGAACAAUCCAACACAGAUCCCUCAUCCAAUGAAGAAACUGAUAGGUGUCGAAUUCCGAAAAAAAAGGACCCGUAUAGACUUAAUACGCACAACCGAAGGACAAACGAAAUCAGACACUCACGAAACAAUCAAUGAACUAUGAACGAACACAAUUUAAUAACGAGUACUUACACAAGUUUUUCCGUCGUAUCACUCAUUCGAAAUCAAGAGAGGUGACCUAACCUAAGAUUAUUUAAUAUAUAUCUGUUCAUGUAGGUAUGGCAAAUUAUAAUGGUAAAAGAAUAG